rnacentral:lncRNA from 1 species
AACACAAUUUCCGCCUCGUACGUGUGGCGAAGGACUCUAAGCCCACUUUAUUGCAGUCGCGUGCUUCAGGAUAUCCGCUCUUGUGAUAAUUCAGGAAGCAAGAAGAUUAACUACCUUCAAUUUGAUAUUUUUGCUAAUGUGUGUCUCUCAAACCAUCAGUGGAUUAGUCUGCGUCAUUUAGCAGACGAGGAAAUAUUUAACUUACGCCCGUUUGGCGAGUAACAAAAACAACGGGUCACCAUAAAUAUCGACUGGAAUUUUUGCCACUUAACUAGCUUCGCUUUUUUCUAAGUUGUUCUAGGUUAACAGAAGAAAAAAAAACCAAGAAAAACAACCAAUCCAAUUUCUGUUGCUCGUACUGAAAAUUACUUUGGAGUUUUGCACACGCAAAAUUUUUGUGCUGUCAUAAAUUGGCGCUUCCCACCCACGUUGCAAUGAUUUUAAACGCGUUAAUAUUGACUUCUUAAUGGAUCUCAAACUGUGCGAGAGAUACAAUUUAAGGGAUUUUUACCGUGUUUUUAUUCUCGCUACUUUGAUCUGCUGAUGACACCCUUUGUGUCUUGGGCCGUGUUUUUAAUAUUGCACUACACGCCCUUGGGGAAGACAGGAUAUUUUUAAACCCAGAUGGACAGUGGGCAACAACUGACGCAAAUGCCGGGGAGAUUUUAGCCACGUCAUGCUAACAAGCUUUGCUCUGAGUCGCUUUGUAGGCAAAAAUAAUUACCUUCGGAUCCAACUAGAAAUCUCUGGCAUCUAUUGUAUCUAAAGAUGCACGAAAGCAUCAAAGGAUGAAGAAUUUUGAUAGACUUGGAAGAUUGAUGACGAACUUGAAAAAUAGGCGUAGUCUCACAGUCGUUUCUUAGGAAGUGUUUUUUUGGCUCCCUGAAGAGCAAAACUAGGCAAGUAAUUUAUAAAACUUACAUGAGUCAGAGCCUUUCGUAACAGCACAGUACCAGCCUGUGUUUAUUCUCUGGUGUGGCAACAACUGGAAAGUCAAAUUGUUGACGUCAGUGUUUGUAAAAGUAGAAACGAGUUAUUUUUGAGAUUUUUCACCCUGUAGAGUGCACUUGGAAUGUUUAAAGAUGUCUAUCAGUGUCAUUUUCGCGAAGAGAAGAAGUUACAUGCAAGGUGGUCGUCUUUUGCGUCAAAUUUGCUAGACUGGUGGCUAAGAAUAGAAUGUAGCCUAAAUAAAUCAAAGAAAUUGCUGUUUCGUAUUUACACAGUAUCGCUUAUCAUGCAGACGUAUUGAUACAAAACAAUGAAAGAAAAAUUGUUAUUAUGAGUGGCAAAGCUGAGAAAUAGUAAACUUAUACAAAAAAUGUUUUAGAUUACGAAGAUUUAAACGGUUUUGCAUAGAAACUUGUUAAUAGCACCAAGUACACCAUUUUUGAAGGUUGCUUCGUACGUGGAUCGUAUCAAUAUCAGUGGUACUAGCCAUUUACGAAUUUUUAUUCUUCGUGAGGUAUCACAACCUUUCAACUCGCAUGGUGUGAGUAAUAACUCUCCCCUACGGCUUUCGUACAUUUCCCUGUAAACAAGUUAUGGGAAUUUGGUGCAAAAUCAAAACAACUCUCUUAAGCUGAUUCUUUUUGGUAUUCUCAUGGCCUGUUUGCUGAACAGUCAAAGGAUACUCUAAGGAGAAAUUGCUUGUGAAUCUCUUUUGAGAAUUGAAGGGUGAAAAAUUCGUGACCGUGGGGUAUAAUGUUAUGGUUCCUCUUCAAGUAUGAGGGGCUCAUUUGCAGAAUCAUGAAAAGUAAAUGGAGGAAGACAGACAAAAGUGUACUGAUAUUUCAUCUCUAUAUUUGUUUGUUUAUUGUUUUAUACGGCGGAAUUUCAUAUCUCUGUUAAUGACAAAUUGCACGAAGAAUCUCGGAUAUUUUUAUGAACUCAGUUUUGACCAAAUUUUUUUUUUUUUUUGCUACAUAUGAAUGUUCCAAAGAAGGUUGAUUUUCUCGACUACUCGUCGACUCAUUUUCUUAAAUUGUUUUGAUAGCCAAAUGUUGUUUCAUUUUACUAUUAUGGUGAGUACUCCCCUAGAAUCUCUGCUGAAUCAAAUAACGGGUUCUCUUUGUCAGCAGUAAUGGAAAUUUCUAGAGAAAGGUGUCGAGAUGAUAUAUACUGAUAACAGAAGGUGAAUAGUCAUGGAUGGAAAAGAUUACCACGGAUUGAAGGUUCGGGCGAUGUACCUAAAAAAUAAAAAA